CCCUCCCCGCCCCUCCCGCCGCGUCCCGAGCGGAUUUGGGCCUGGGCAGCGCGGCCCGGCCCCCUGGCGUUUCGGCUGGGCUGGGGCGGUAGAACCUUCCGGAGGCCCGGGGCCGCGUCUCGGGGCAGCCAUGGACUCGCAGGCGCUGAAGACUUUGAUUAAUUACUAUUGUCAAGAGAGAUAUUUCCAUCAUGUGUUACUUGUUGCCAGUGAAGGAAUUAAGAGGUAUGGCAGUGACCCAGUCUUCAGGUUUUAUCACGCCUAUGGGACAUUAAUGGAAGGUAAAACUCAAGAAGCUCUUCGAGAAUUUGAGGCCAUUAAAAAUAAACAGGAUGUAUCACUUUGUUCUCUAAUUGCACUGAUACAUGCUCACAAAAUGAGUCCCAAUCCAGAUAGAGAAGCUAUUCUGGAAUCAGAUGCCAUUAUGAAGGAGCAGCGUAAAGGAGCUGGCCCAAAAGCUUUGUACCAUGCAGGCUUAUUUUUAUGGCACAUUGGUCGUCACGAUAAGGCGAGAGAAUAUGUUGACCGAAUGAUCAAAAUGUCAAACGGCAGUAAAGAGGGACAGGUUUUGAGAGCAUGGCUUGAUAUUACAAGAGGAAAAGAACCUUAUACUAAAAAAGCACUAAGAUAUUUUGAAGAAGGAUUACAAGAUGGAAAUGAUAUUUUUGCUCUGCUGGGUAAGGCACGAUGCCUUGAGAUGCGCCAGAACUACUCAGGUGCUCUGGAGACUGUGAACCAGAUAAUAAUGAACUUUCCAAGUUUCCUUCCUGCUUUUGUGGAGAAAAUGAAACUACAACUAGCCUUGCAGGAUUGGGACCAGACGGUUGAGACAGCACAGAGGUUAAUUUUUCAAGAUAAUCAAAAUGUGGAAGGACUCAGAAUGCUGGCCCUUUACUAUUUGUGUAGGGAGGGGGAUUUAGAGAAGGCUGCCACAAAGCUGGGAAACUUAGAAAAUGCAUUGGAUGUCAUGGAACCACAGAAUGCUCAACUUUUUUAUAGGAUCACAAUAGCCUUCAGCAGAACGUGUGGACGUAGUGAACUUAUUCUUCAAAAGACUCAAACAUUGCUAGAAAAAGCUUUUAGUUUAACUCCUCAACAGUCAGAAUUUGCCGCAGAACUUGGAUACCAAAAGAUUUUACAAGGAAAUGUUAAAGAGGCAUCGAAGUGGUAUAAGACUGCCAUGACACUAGAUGAAACCAGUGUCUCUGCACUGAUUGGACUUAUCCAAUGUCAGUUAAUAGAAGGGCAGUUACAGGAAGCAGAUCAGCAGCUGGAAUUCCUUAGUGAAAUUCAGCAGUCUAUUGGAAAAUCAGCGGAAUUAACCUAUUUACAUGCAGUUCUUGCCAUGAAGAAAAAUAAAAGACAAGAAGAAGUUAUUAACUUGUUAAAUGAUGUCCUAGACACUCAUUUUUCACACUUAGAAGAUUUACCUCUUGGCAUACAGUACUUUGAGAAGUUAAAUCCUGAUUUCUUGCUAGAAAUUGUUACAGAAUAUAUGAAUUUCUGUCCAAUGCAGCCUGCAAGUCCUGGGCAGCCUCUUUCUCCACUUCUCAGACGUUGCACCUCAAUCCUGGAAACUAUAGUAAGAACUGUACCAGGUCUUUUGCAAGCUGUCUUCUUAAUAGCAAAAGUGAAAUAUUUGUCAGGUGAUAUUGAAGCAGCUUAUAAUAACCUGCAGCAUUGCCUCGAACACAGUCCUUCCUAUGCAGAUGCUCAUCUCCUGAUGGCUCAGGUUUAUUUGUCUCAGGAAAAAUUCAGAUUGUGUUCUCAGUCUCUUGAACUUUGUCUGAGCUUUAAUUUUAAGGUGAGAGAAUAUCCUCUAUAUCAUUUGAUAAAAGCUCAGUCACAAAAGAAAAUGGGGGAAAUAGCAGAAGCAAUUAAAACUCUGCAUAUGGCAAUGAGUUUACCAGGAAUGAGAAUUGGAGCUUCCACAAAAUCAAAGUACAGAAACACUGAAGUUGAUGCAAGCCAUCGUCUGUCAAUCUUUCUUGAGUUGGUAGAGGUUCACUGCUUAAAUGGAGAACAGCAUGAGGCAGCCAAAGUUUUACAAGAUGCCAUCCAUGAAUUUUCUGGGACAUCUGAAGAGUUGCGUGUUACCAUUGCUAAUGUAGACUUAGCUUUGGCCCAAGGAGAUGUGGAGCGGGCUUUAAGCAUGCUUCGGAAUGUGACAGCUGAACAGCCUUAUUUCGUAGAAGCCAAAGAAAAAAUGGCAGCUAUAUAUCUGAAGCACAGAAAAGAGAAAAUGUUAUAUAUCACUUGUUACAGAGAAAUUGCUGAAAGGAUGCCCAGCCCUCGUUCUUUUCUUCUCCUUGGUGAUGCGUACAUGAAUAUUCAAGAGCCUGAAGAAGCCAUAGUGGCAUAUGAGCAAGCAUUAAAUCAGAGCCCAAAGGAUGGAACAUUGGCAAGCAAAAUUGGGAAAGCUCUUGUCAAGACACACAACUAUUCAAAGGCAAUCACUUACUAUGAAGCUGCUCUGAAAAGUGGACAACAAAAUUAUCUUUGCUAUGACCUGGCUGAACUCUUACUAAAAUUGAAGUGGUAUGACAAAGCAGAAAAAGUUCUCCAGCAUGCUCUAGCUCAUGAACCUGUAAAUGAACUAUCAGCUCUCAUGGAGGAUGGACGUUCUCACAUUCUUCUAGCAAAAGUUUAUAGUAAGGUGGACAGACCUGAUGAUGCAGUCGCUUCAUUACAACAGGCUCGCGAAUUACAAGCUCGGGUACUAAAACGUGUUCAGAUGGAACAGCCAGAUGCAGUUCCUGCACAGAAACAUUUAGCAGCUGAAAUUUGUGCAGAGAUUGCAAAACAUUCUGUUGCUCAGCGAGACUAUGAAAAAGCAAUUAAGUUUUAUAGAGAGGCUCUUGUUCAUUGUGAAACAGAUAAUAAGAUCAUGCUGGAGCUGGCUCGACUGUACCUGGCCCAGGAUGACCCCGACGCCUGCCUGCGGCACUGCGCUCUGCUGCUCCAGAGCGACCAGGACAACGAGGCCGCCACCAUGAUGAUGGCAGAUCUCAUGUUCAGAAAACAGGACUAUGAACAAGCAGUGUUUCAUUUACAACAACUUUUAGAACGGAAACCAGAUAAUUAUAUGACAUUAUCUCGUUUAAUUGAUUUCCUAAGAAGAUGUGGAAAACUUGAGGAUGUCCCAAGAUUUUUCUUAAUGGCUGAGAAGCGUAACUCCAGAGCAAAACUGGAGCCAGGAUUUCAGUACUGUAAAGGACUAUAUCUCUGGUAUACUGGAGAACCAAAUGAUGCUCUUCGACAUUUUAAUAAAGCUCGGAAAGACAGUGACUGGGGCCAAAAUGCCCUUUAUAAUAUGAUAGAAAUCUGCUUGAAUCCAGACAAUGAAACUAUUGGAGGUGAAGUAUUUGAAAAUCUGGAUGGAGACCUGGGUAAUUCAACCGAAAAGCAAGAGUCUGUGCAGUUAGCAGUGAGAACAGCAGAAAAGCUCCUUAAAGAACUGAAACCGCAGACUAUUCAGGGCCACGUACAGCUUCGCAUAAUGGAAAACUAUUGCCUAAUGGCUACCAAACAGAAGUCUAAUGUUGAGCAGGCGUUGAACACCUUCACCGAAAUAGCAACGUCUGAGAAGGAUCAUAUCCCAGCGCUCCUGGGAAUGGCAACAGCUUAUAUGAUCUUGAAACAAACUCCUAGAGCCCGAAACCAGCUGAAGCGGAUUGCAAAGAUGAACUGGAAUCCUAUUGAUGCUGAGGACUUUGAGAGGAGUUGGCUGCUACUCGCUGAUAUUUAUAUUCAGUCAGCAAAAUACGACAUGGCAGAAGAACUGCUAAAGCGAUGCCUGCGUCAUAACAGGUCUUGCUGCAAAGCUUAUGAAUAUAUGGGAUACAUUAUGGAAAAAGAGCAAGCAUAUACAGACGCUGCCUUGAACUAUGAGAUGGCAUGGAAACAGGGCAACCAGACAAAUCCAGCAGUAGGAUACAAACUGGCGUUUAAUUACCUAAAAGCCAAAAGAUUUGUGGAUGCUAUUGACGUAUGUCACCAGGUUCUUGAAGCACAUCCAAGUUAUCCAAAAAUCAGGAAGGAUAUACUUGAUAAGGCCCGUACAUCUUUAAGACCUUGAAAAUUAUUUUAACUCAGUUUGUUGUUGAAGCAAGGAAUCUGAGUUCUUGCAGUUCAAAAUAGGCUUGAGCUAAUACUCUGCAAUGGGAGCAUACUUUCCUUUCUCCAGCAGAGGCCGCUGGUGUGUAUAAAGAGGAAGUGCUACGUUAGAUGGAUGUCUUCUGAUGGAGGUCACAGAAAAAUUGUCUGUCAGAACCUGGAUUCCACGGCAGCCUUUCCCACGUUAAGAUGCCUUCCAUAACCAAGAGACGGUGUCUAUAAGAAAAGUCACCUGCUCCGCGUCUGGCUAGCAGAUGAAACGGUGUUCUGUUACAGAGAUGGCUAGGUGAUGAGGAACAAGGCGAACGGAGUGGAGUGAGCAGUUCUUACAGACGUGCAAACUACCAAAGAGAAGCAUAAGUGAGGAGCGGUGAAGUGUCGCAGUUAAGAGUGUGGAUUUGAAGUCACACCAGCCUAGCUUUAAGGUGUGGCUUUAUUUACUACCUACUAGAUCUUUACUCUUUCUCAAGUUACGCAGGCUGAGGAUAAUAACCUUCCUCAGGUGGUUAAGAAUUAAAUGAGAGAACAUACAUAAAACCUAUAAGAAAUCUGACUCACUUGGGCUCUUAAAAAUGAGUAGCUCUACUUAUUAUAAGCCAAACAAGGUCAAGUAGUAAUUGCAACUGAGAACCUUCACAGAAGAAAAGAGAUAGUGCAGAUGAAGCUGAGAUGCAGAGGACCAGUAAGUUCCCCCAGAAGCACAGCUGUACAGGAGUCAGGAUUCCCACUGUCACCCUCCCUCGCCCCAGCAGACAUUAAGCUGCUUUCUUUACAUGCAUAAAUCUCAUUUCACCCAUCUCCAACAGACUUUCGCCCUACGCCCUCUACUGGAAUUCUCUCCCCAUGCUCCUCUCCCUUAUCCCAGCUUCCUGGCUCACAAGCUUCCCUCUCUAGGCUUAUUCUUUCUUUCAUCAGUUUAUCGUCACCUCCUGAGAGGCUAUGUCCAUGUCAAGCCAUCAUGCCAGUCUGUGCCAUAUCACCCUUUUAAAACUAUUUAGCAUUUAGUAACCUCUGAUGUUUUUCUUGUUCACAUGGCCCAGAUCGCACAUCCAGGAAAGCUGGAACUCAAGCUGAAUUGCUCCCUGAAGGAACUGGUGCCCACGGCAGGUUACAUGAGUUUGGGGCCUGCACUGAGGAUGGAGAGGGGAGGGACACAACGUGAACUGAAGAAUUUCUGUGACUGAGGUCUGAAUACCACCAGCCUCCCAGGAAGGAAGCAGUCACAAGUUCAGUGCACUCUGACCUUAGGCCAGCCAGUAUGGUGAACUGGGUCCCAAAAGGAAAUUGCUUUCUUCCCAGAAGUCAACCACCUAGAGCAAUUCUGGAAGGAUUUUAUGUAUGGACAGGUGAGCUAGGUUAAACUUUGUACAGAUAGAUAAUGGAAUCACUAUGGAAACCAAAAGACCAGUUAAAGACUGACAGGACUCACGAAUAGCCUUAUAACAGGAUCAUAUAACAGUGCUAGUGCUGAUAAAGUAGCAAAUGCUUUUAUGUUUUGCUUUUUGUUAGAAGCUUGGCAACAGGGCAAGGAAAUUCCCACAUUCAUACGCUGCUGGUGGAAGCAUAGUGCAACCUUUCUGAAGGGCAACUUGGCAGUAUGGAUUAACAUUCUGUCCUCUGACCAGGUAAUCCCACUUAGAGAAAUUUAUCAUAGGAGACAUUCAGAAAUUUUCUCAAAAGUUUUUC